CUGGAGGAAGUAGGGGUCUGCCUUCGCUGCUUUAGAAAGUCUGGGGUGUGUAGCAGGACACGUACAUCCUCCUUUCCCCGAAUUACAGAGCAGCCUGCUCUUUUGCAUACAGCCCUCUGUGGCCCAUUUUCUAUCAUCUCUGAGCAGGUUUGGUAAAUCAUUAACUUCUCUGUGAAUCCGUUUUUCCACUUGUAGAACAGAUACAGCUCUGCACAUUUUGUAAAUUUUUUAAGAGACUGAAAUGAACUAAUAAGGGUACCUGACUUGGUAUAGUGUCUGGCAUAGGACUAUAAUUGGUGUCACUGAUAUUUUAGAACUGUUCUUUGAUUCAUCUGAGUGUGAAUGGAAACUCUUGGAAACGAAGACAAGAUCUGUGCUCCAGAAUUCAAAUCCUUUAGUCUGUGUCCAGUGCCUGGUUUCCACAACUUCAGUCCUCGGUGUUGUCGAGUGAAGACUUUGCCUGCCCCUUUUUGCAGAAUCCCUAAGGGAGCUGGCUGCUUUCUUCUCUUAUCGGAAGAUGAAACAGACUUCUAACCCCGGGAAAUGUCAUCAAUUGUGAAACAAAGGAUGAGGCUUGCCAGAUUCUCCAGACUCAGGAGACAGAGUUGGGCUGGCCGGGCCACGUGGUACCUCACCCCUCGCCUCCUGUGCUUGGUCGGGCUGUGACUGUCGCCUCUUUUAAUUGUCCUGUGAGUCGUGCCCAUUCCUGUCAACCAGGUGCACGGCAUCGCUUGCCCGGUUGUGUGACACCCAGGGCCACCCCAUGGAAGGACGUACCAGUGCUUUUCCAAAGAAACUUGCUAGAAAUAAUCACACCCCUAGGAUCCAGGUGGAGAACUGAUAAGACCUUGGGUAAGAACAGCUCUUGGGAGAGUGCAAAAGAAGGGACGAACUUGAAACACACUUGCUUGAGAGAGAACAAAGGGAACUUGUUAACUGACUGAACAUGGGGCAACCAUAAAGAAAAGAAUGGAAGAAGAGAGGUCAAGGGCUAUAAAUAUGGGUGGGGGUCAACAAUGGAUUCAACUCCCUUGAACGCAUUACCAUGAAUUGAAAGAACAAAUGAACAUAAGUUUGAAGGCUUCUUACCGGGAUGUAUGAUAUCCUGAGCUCCAUGUUGCCUGAAAUUAAAGUGCUUGUGUACAAACUCUGAGGAGCCUUCAAGAGAUGACAAAGACUCAGUUGUGUGUAAUGGUAGGGAUUUAAACAAGAAAAAUUUUGGACAGCAACUUAAGAAAGUGGAUUAGCAUUUUUUAAUGGAAAGCUGUAAUUGCCGGGUGGGCUAAAGAAGUGCUGGUGGAAGAGAGAGCGGACAAUGGUGAGAUCGUUGUGGGUACCUCUGCUGAACAAGUCCUUGAACUUCAUCAGUACUUUGCCCUUUUAAGUUUCCUCAGAGGCCACAGUACUGGCAAAAUAUUGGCUGUUAUUAAAGCUUGGUGUUUCUAGGAUCACGAACUGUGGGAAUCCAAUCUGUGAGUGGAUGAUGACACAACAUGAUGAACUUUAUACUAAAGGGCAAUUUCAUGACUUUUGACCAAUAUAUCCAAGAUAGCAGGCCAUUCAUCUUCAUGAGCUUCUUAAUCUUAACCCAGAGGAUGAAACAUAAUUGUAUUAAGAGUGAAAAUGUUGACACAAUUUUAACAACGGAAGAAGUGGCACUUGACCAGAAACUUUGUCACCAUGUGAGUUCCAUACAGAGUCAAGACCUUGACUUCGAUAACUCUUUGAUUACAUGAAGGCUGGGAGCCCAUCCAACCCUUCAGCAUGACUCACUCUUUUUGUGACCCCAGUUGCUCAAGCUCAAUACCAUGAACCAUCUUAAAUAUUGUUUUCUGAUAUACACCCUCAAUUUCCCCCACUUUCUCUAACUGUGUCUUCAAGAUUGAAUGAUUCUUUGCCCUCAUGUGCUCCAGCUCUGCAUGUUCCACCUUAUGCUUCAGUAGUUGCUGUUGACUGGAGCUAAACACAUGUCCACCUGCUUUGCUGCUAUAUGAAACACUGAACUCUUGCAGAGGGCUUGCAUUGCGGCCAGGCCACCCUCUGACACUUGGUUUGGUAAUUCCUCUAUUAUCCUAGACCAUUUUACACCCUUUACUCUCUUCUCUAAACAACCUGUAUCCUCCCUCUCAGGUGGCAACUUCAGCUCUUGUUUCAGUGAGAAAAUAGAAGCCGGCAGAGGUG